rnacentral:rRNA from 1 species
GACGAACGCUGGCGGCGUGCUUAACACAUGCAAGUCGAACGGAAAGGCCCUGCUUUUGUGGGGUGCUCGAGUGGCGAACGGGUGAGUAACACGUGAGUAACCUGCCCUUGACUGUGGGAUAACUUCAGGAAACUGGGGCUAAUACCGGAUAGGAGCACCUGCUGCAUGGUGGGGGUUGGAAAGUUUCGGCGGUUGGGGUUGGACGCGCGGCUUCUCUGCUUGUGGGUGGUGGAGUGGCUUACCAUGGCUUUGACGGGUAGCCGGCCUGAGAGGGUGACCGGCCACAGUGGGACUGAGAUACGGCCCAGACUCCUACGGGAGGCAGCAGUGGGGAAUAUUGCACAAUGGGCGGAAGCCGUAUGCAGCAACGCCGCGUGCUGGAUGACGGCCGUCGGGUUGUAAACCGCUUUCGCCUGUGACGAAGAGUGUGUGACGGUAAUGGGUAAAGAAGCACCGGCUAACUACGUG